GGGCGAAUGGUCUAGGGGUAUGAUACUCCCUUCGCAUCAAAUCAGCAUGUGGAAUCUGGGAGGGGUCCGGGGUUCAAUUCCCCGUUCGUCCA